rnacentral:tRNA from 1 species
GCAAGAGUGGUUUUUCCAGUGCCGGGGGGUCCCCACAAAAUAAAUGAAAAUAAAUGAAAAAAUAAGAUUCUGACUCUUAAUCAGCAGGUCGGCGGUUCGAGCCCGCCAGGGUGCA